UACAGAGGGGGCAAGCGUUGUUCGGAAUUACUGGGCGUAAAGGGCGCGUAGGCGGCCUGUUAAGUCGAACGUGAAAUCCCCGGGCUCAACCCGGGAACUGCGUCCGAUACUGGCAGGCUUGAAUCCGGGAGAGGGAUGCGGAAUUCCAGGUGGUAGCGGUGAAAUGCGUAGAUAUCUGGAGGAACACCGGUGGCGAAGGCGGCAUCCUGGACCGGCAUUGACGCUGAGGCGCGAAAGCCGGGGAGCAAAACGGG
rnacentral:rRNA from 1 species